ensembl:lncRNA SCIRT stem cell inhibitory RNA transcript
GCAGAGCCCAGGCGCGUGGGUCGGUGUCGGGUGUGUGUGUACGUCUGUGUGUGUAAUGAAACUGGACGCCUUCCUUCCCGGCGAUCUUGACUUAACCUGUCAGCAGAGGGCUUGAGGUUAGACCACAGGUUGAACCUAGGUGGCUGCUGGAGAGAAACACUCUGUCUUCCUGCUUUGAGGACAGCUGAAGUCUUGCCACUUCUUCUGGAUGCUCUGACCAUCAGUAAGAGACACGGUCUGACUUUGUUACCCCGGCUGGAGUGCAGUGGUGCAAUCAUGGCUCACUGCAGCCUUAACCUCCUGGGCUCAAGUGAUCCUCUCGCCAAGGCUAGGAUAAGUAGCUAGGACUACAGAUGCGCCCCAUCACGCCCAGCUAAUUUUACAACUUCUGUAGAGAUGGAGUGUUGCUGGGUUGCCCAGGCUGGUCUUGAAUUCCUGGGCUCAAGCGAUCCUCCUGUGUCCGGAAUUGGUGGGUUCUUGGUCUCACUGACUUCAAGAAUGAAGCCGCGGACCCUCGCGGGUGGAGUCUCCGGGAGGAUGGCUGUGGAAGAACUGCCAAUUCCAAGGGCCUGGUCAGGCAGAGGCAUUCUUACUAUUCCAAAACAAGGAAAGGGUAAAACCAAGAUGUCAAAGGCCCCGCUGGUGUGGAAGCAAAUUUCUGCCUCCACCAGCUGGAUGGCUGCUACCCCUGUACAGGUUCCUAACACUGGAACAGGGAUCAACCCAAGUGCUUGGGGCUCACCAUGUCCUCCUCCCCAGCCAGGACAGCAAGUGGAAGACACAGGCGAGCUGAAAGAGGCUCACUGUGUGCCCAGCCCUAACCCCCUGCCUCAUUGGCACCAGGCACCCAGGACUCCUCAGAACUCAGAGCCAGGGUUUGGGCAGCCUCCUCGUAGUGCUCCUUGAAUAGGAUUUAUAGGACUUGCACCAGGAGCUUUGGGCCAUUCCAGGGGACAUUGCUUUGGGGGAAAAAAGGACCCAAUAUGGGUAUCUAGAACUUGAAGCAUGUCGUCAGAGAUCGGAGCUCCAGGGAAUUGGAAAAUUAUGCUUCAGAGGUUCCCAAGGGAAUGAUGGCCUGAAUCCCACUCCUCCCCCAAAAUAAAGCUCCUUUGACCUCUUUCGUA